UGUUUAAAGUUCUUAAUAUCAGAGGGCAAC
rnacentral:piRNA from 1 species